UGAACGCCAUCUGUUAAGAACCACAGCUUUUAUGACAAUCUCUGUCCAACUCAUGAUGGUAAUCAGUUACCAUCAGGAAUUUGUAAUCUAUGAUAGUAAAUCUAACUUUUAUCCACGCUGUAUUUCUUCGUGAAUUCUGGAUUGUAGAACACAGUCAUAUUCUGCAUAACAUGAAAGUCGUACUUGUAACUGGCGGUACUGGGCUGGUUGGCAAAGCCAUUCAAAGUGUUAUUGCCUAUGAUAAAAGAGAGGAUGAAAGGUGGAUAUUUAUUGGUUCUAAAGAUGCGGAUUUGUGCAAUAAGGAGAGUACUCGCAAAUUAUUCAAUGAACACAGACCGACACAUGUUAUCCAUCUGGCAGCCAUGGUGGGUGGACUUUUUCACAACAUGUCUCACAAUUUGGACUUUUUACGAAAUAAUAUACACAUGAAUGAUAAUGUUCUUCAAACUGCUCACGAACACAAUGUUAUAAAAGUUGUUUCAUGCCUUUCAACUUGUAUAUUUCCAGACAAAACUACCUAUCCUAUAAAUGAAACUAUGGUCCACAAUGGACCACCACAUCCUUCAAAUUAUGGUUACAGCUACGCUAAACGACUUAUUGAUAUUGCAAAUAGAGGCUACCACGAUCAGCACAACAGGUUGUACACCAGUGUGAUUCCUUGUAAUGUAUUUGGUCCACACGACAACUUUCAUCCCAGCUCAAGUCAUGUUAUACCUGGCUUGAUGCGCAGGCUUUACGACUUGUGCAAAGAUGGAAACACUGAGGACAAGGUGUUCACUGUGCUGGGAUCUGGCAAGCCUUUGAGGCAAUUCAUCUAUAGUAUAGACUUGGCAAAAUUAAUAAUCUGGGUGCUCCGCGAAUACAAUUCUGUGGAACCAAUCAUAUUAUCAGUGGACGAGGAGCAGGAAACGUCCAUAUCGCAGAUGGCGGAGUCUCUGGUGCGAGCUUUUGACUUCAAAGGCAAAGUAGUAUACGAUACGUCGGCGGCGGACGGCCAGUACAAGAAGACUGCGAGUAACGCGAAAUUACGAAAGUACUUACCGGACUUUCAGUUCACGCCCUUCGCCCAAGCGAUCAAAGAGACCGUCGAUUGGUACAUAGAAAAUUACGAUCGAGCGAGAAAUUAGAGCGGCGGAAAUCAGAUAUGUCGAUGCAAAUGUUACCUGUUAGAAUUGGCUGGAUACGGUAUUCGGAAGACACGACGUUACGUGUGUUCCUUACUAUCGAGAGACUGCGGGGCGUGGAUCAGCGCAAAUGCGCCAGCGUGAAGGCAAGCGACCUUUAACUGGCUCGAGAUCCGUAAAUCCAGAAUAACGGGGUGUGAAGAGUAUUUCCAGUCUGUCAAAUAAACAUUCGCGGUACGCGGAUAUUUUUAUUGAUCGGGAAAUUUAAGUCUCUAUUGAACGCGCGCCAAAGAUAGAUCCGGCCCGAGCACCUGCCGUUUCAUUUAUUUUUGCUCAAUCCGCGGCACUCCUGAGGAGUGUAUUUUAGGUCAGUUCGUGCGCGAAGCCCAACCAGUGGAUCACUCUAGACUUUGCAUCGACUGUCAUGUCGGCGGAGAAGCGGGCGCGCGCCCGUCACAGUCGCGAGAAGUCACUGUGGAUUAAUCAAGAGCAAGGUGACGAGGGGUCGCAGCUGCCGCAAGAGCAGGCAAAAUAAUGCAGAUUCGGUAGGAAGCACACGUGAGGGGCCUGACAGUGACGAAAAGGAAAGCAUGACAAAGCAACAAUGAAGCGAAGGAGCAAAAAAAGAAGGGACGGACGGAGCGUAGCGUAGAUACGUCGCACAAUGGUGUCAAAUAUAAUUUCACGUUUCAAGAAAAACUUUAUCGGAUCAGUUUUCAUCUCCUUCUUCAAAAUCAUACAAAGAAGUCAGAUUUAAAAAUUUGUUUCAAUCAAUUCAAUCAACAGUAUAUACAGAUGACUCAUUUCAUAUCUCAUUUAAUCUAACAUCAGGCACAAAGGAAUAUUGUGAUAUUGAAAUCUCCUGAUUACGGGUUUGAAAAAAAAUCAUACAGACUCUUGACGUGGAUUAAAUCUUACUUUAAACUUAACAAACGAGGUGAAUUGAGACAGUACCUAAUUUUAGCAAAUAAAAUCUACCAACUUAGAUAAGAUUAAAUUAUUAUCACUAUGCAAUCAAUUUUUGUAACAACUCGCGAACACACUUCCGCAUUUAUAUCGGAAUUGUUUGAAACAACUUUUAAAUCCAACUUCUUUAUGUCUGAUUUAGGAGAAGGGAAGCGAAAGACAGAGAUCUGGCUCGACAAGGUUGUUAGCUUUCAAAGUUCGACGAAGUUAGCUUAAAGAAGAGAAAAGGCAUCGAAAUUGGUUAAAAUGUCGGAACUGCGGUCUCUUUUGAAGCGUGAAAUUUCAUUCGGUCGCACUGUGCGGCGCGGCGCAGGCGCGCGGCGUCGCGCGGCUUCGGGGAAGAGUUGGGGUCGCUUCUCGGCGGUGCCACCUCGAGGCCGGCGCGGCUCGGUCAGUAGUCGCUCUCGGGGUGGCUCGCGUCUCGCCGACUCGUUUCGCGCUCGUCUCGCGGUCUCGUGCGAGGAUGUGUUCUCGUGGUGGCGCAGACGAGUCGUGAUACGGCACGUGGUGCUGCUUCGCUCCUCUCCCCCUCGAGAACGACGAGAAGGACGUGCCGUGUGCGCGAUGACGCGGGGGACGAUCCUGCCGAGGCGAUCCUGGAGCCGGUAGCGGUGCCCGCCGUCUCGACAGCUCAAUAGGCUGCCUCACGGAAACGAGAGAAAGAAGAGAGCGGAAGAGGGAGAAAAGGAAACGCGUCGUCGCGCGCCCGUCGUGCGACCAAGGACGUCGAGGGCAAAACGACGAGGCCUCUUCGACGGGACGAGCGGAACGUGCGGA